UAUGGGGGUGGCGAGCGUUACUCGGAUUCAUUGGGUGUAAAGGACAGGUAGGCGGCUAUGCAAGUUGGAGGUGAAAUCCUGCGGCUCAACCGCAGAACUGCCUUCAAAACUGCAUAGCUUGAGGCUAAAAGAGGAGAGUGGAAUUCCCGGUGUAAGGGUGAAAUCUGUAGAUAUCGGGAGGAACACCAGUGGCGCAAGCGGCUCUCUGGUUUAGCCCUGACGCUGAUCUGUGAAAGCUAGGGGAGCAAACAUG
rnacentral:rRNA from 1 species